rnacentral:rRNA from 1 species
UUGUUGGUGAGGUAAAGGCUUACCAAGGCUUCGAUCAGUAGCUGGUCUGAGAGGACGACCAGCCACACUGGGACUGAGGCACGGCCCAGACUCCUACGGGAGGCAGCAGUGGGGAAUUUUGGACAAUGGGGGAAACCCUGAUCCAGCCAUGCCGCGUGAGUGAAGAAGGCCUUCGGGUUGUAAAGCUCUUUCAGCCGGAACGAAACGGUUACGAUUAAUACCUGUAACUACUGACGGUACCGGAAGAAGAAGCACCGGCUAACUACGUGCCAGCAGCCGCGGUAAUACGUAGGGUGCGAGCGUUAAUCGGAAUUACUGGGCGUAAAGCGUGCGCAGGUGGUUUUGUAAGUCAGAUGUGAAAUCCCCGGGCUUAACCUGGGAACUGCGUUUGAAACUACAAGGCUAGAGUGUGGCAGAGGGGGGUGGAAUUCCGCGUGUAGCAGUGAAAUGCGUAGAGAUGUGGAGGAACACCGAUGRCGAAGGCAGCCCCCUGGGUCAACACUGACGCUCAGGCACGAAAGCAUGGGGAGCAAACAGGAUUAGAUACCCUGGUAGACCAUGCCCUAAACGAUGUCAACUAGUUGUCGGGUCUUAACGGGCUUGGUAACGUAGCUACGCGUGAAGUUGACCGCCCGGGGAGUACGAUCGCAAGAUUAAAACUCAAAGGAAUUGACGGGGACCCGCACAAGCGGUGGAUUAUGUGGAUUAAUUCGAUGCAACGCGAAAAACCUUACCUACCCUUGACAUGUAUUGGAGCCCGCAGAGAUGUGGGUGUGCCCGAAAGGGAACGAUAACACAGGUGCUGCAUGGCUGUCGUCAGCUCGUGUCGUGAGAUGUUGGGUUAAGUCCCGCAACGAGCGCAACCCUUGUCAUUAAUUGCCAUCAUUUAGUUGGGCACUUUAAUGAGACCGCCGG